rnacentral:rRNA from 1 species
CCUAGUAAUUUUAGCGGUGUGGUCCUACUCCUUCCCAUUCCGAACAGGAAAGUAAAACACACCAGCGGCGACGAUAGUAUAGGGGCAACUCUAUGCGAAAAUAGUUCAUUGCUGGGC